AUUGAACGCUGGCGGCAUGCUUUACACAUGCAAGUCGGACGGCAGCACAGAGAAGCUUGCUUCUUGGGUGGCGAGUGGCGCACGUGUGAGUAAUAUAUCGGAACGUACCGAGUAAUGGGGGAUAACUAAUCGAAAGAUUAGCUAAUACCGCAUAUUCUCUGAUGCGGAAAGCAGGGGACCUUCGGGCCUUGCGUUAUUCGAGCGUCCGAUAUCUGAUUAGCUAGUUGGUGGGGUAAAGGCCGACCAAGUCGACGAUCAGUAGCGGGUCUGAGAGUAUGAACCGCCACACUGGGACUGAGACACGGCCCAGACUCCUACGGGAGGCAGCAGUGGGGAAUUUUGGACAAUGGGCGCAAGCCUGAUCCAGCCAUGCCGCGUGUCUGAAGAAGGCCUUCGGGUUGUAAAGGACUUUUGUCAGGGAAGAAAAGGCUGUUGCUAAUAUCGACAGCUGAUGACGGUACCUUAAGAAUAAGCACCGGCUAACUACGUG
rnacentral:rRNA from 1 species